rnacentral:rRNA from 1 species
UACAGAGGGGGCAAGCGUUGUUCGGAAUUACUGGGCGUAAAGGGCGCGUAGGCGGCCUGUUAAGUCGAACGUGAAAUCCCCAGGCUUAACCUGGGAACUGCGUGUGAUACUGGAUGGCUUGAAUUCGGGAGAGGGAUGCAGAAUUCCAGGUGUAGCGGUGAAAUGCGUAGAUAUCUGGAGGAAUACCGGUGGCGAAGGCGGCAUCCUGGACCGACAUUGACGCUGAGGAGCGAAAGCUAGGGGAGCAAACGGG